rnacentral:lncRNA from 1 species
GUGUCCCUCUUAUGUCCACAAUAAUACAGUCAAGAGGUUUACAAGUUCAAAGAAAAAUAUGUAGACAUAAAUAACAAAUAUGCAGAAUCUAUAUGAAGGAAAUGAACUUUAUUAAACAACAGUUUAAAAGAUUUGAGUAAUUAGAGGUACAAAUCACUUUUCUGAAUAAAAAAUGAAGCAUAUUAUGGCACAACAUUCCCAACAAAAUCUCAAGUUAUUUAUUUCUUUUGGUUUCAUUGUUAGAACAAAUGUAAAUUUUAUGUGUAAUAUUGGGAAGAGCCAAACAUUUUGUGAAAAUGGAGACUAAUACUUAUCUGAAAAUGUAUCUUUAACGACUAUAAUAAUCUAAAUAUUUUAGCUUUGAGUGGGGAAAUAUACAUGUUAAGUCCUAAGAUUGUGAUAAGAAUUUAGUCUAUGAUAGUGUUUCAAAGAAGUGGAGAGAAAUGGGCCUAUUCAAUAAGUGGUGUUGGGAUGGCAGAGUAAGAUAGUGUGAAAAUAACAGGGAUUCAACAGGAUAAGCCUUCCCCAAAAAACACAGAUAAAGGGGUAGGUUCAGGACAACCUAUCAAUUGGAAGCUGCAGUCUCCAAUUGGAAGCAAUAACAGGGGUAGUGGCUGAAGACAUAUAGUCUACUCAUGAGUUGAACCCUCCCAGAGUCUAUGGCUCUGCCAAAUAUACCUUCCCUGCCAAGUAUAGACUGGAUAUGAAGUGAUGGGUCGUAUCAGGCAAGAGGAGGUCAAGUUCAAGAUAGAAAAUGGGCCCAAUGCCAAAACAAAACAG